rnacentral:tRNA from 1 species
GAUGUAGCACAGUGGUAGAGCAUGUGCUUGCCAUGUGCAAGGACCUAGAUUCAAUCUCUAGCAUC